UCCAAAUACUAACCAGGCCCGACCCUGCUUAGCUUCCAAGAUCAAAUGAGAUUGGGCUCAUUCAGGGUGGUAUGGC
rnacentral:sRNA from 1 species